UGGGGAAUUUUGGACAAUGGGCGAAAGCCUGAUCCAGCAAUGCCGCGUGUGUGAAGAAGGCCUUCGGGUUGUAAAGCACUUUUGUCCGGAAAGAAAUCCUUGGCUCUAAUACAGUCGGGGGAUGACGGUACCGGAAGAAUAAGCACCGGCUAACUACGUGCCAGCAGCCGCGGUAAUACGUAGGGUGCAAGCGUUAAUCGGAAUUACUGGGCGUAAAGCGUGCGCAGGCGGUUUGCUAAGACCGAUGUGAAAUCCCCGGGCUCAACCUGGGAACUGCAUUGGUGACUGGCAGGCUAGAGUAUGGCAGAGGGGGUAGAAUUCCACGUGUAGCAGUGAAAUGCGUAGAGAUGUGGAGGAAUACCGAUGGCGAAGGCAGCCCCCUGGGCCAAUACUGACGCUCAUGCACGAAAGCGUGGGGAGCAAACAGGAUUAGAUACCCCGGUAGUCCACGCCCUAAACGAUGUCAACUAGUUGUUGGGGAUUCAUUUCCUUAGUAACGUAGCUAACGCGUGAAGUUGACCGCCUGGGGAGUACGGUCGCAAGAUUAAAACUCAAAGGAAUUGACGGGGUCAUAGCUGUUUCCU
rnacentral:rRNA from 1 species